UCGAGGAUCUUCGGCAAUGGGCGCAAGCCUGACCAAGCGACGCCGCGUGCGCGACGAAGGCCUUCGGGUUGUAAAGCGCUGUCGAGGGGGAGGAAAGCCCGCAAGGGCCUGACCUAUCCCUGGAGGAAGCACGGGCUAAGUUCGUGCCAGCAGCCGCGGUAAGACGAACCGUGCGAACGUUGUUCGGAUUCACUGGGCUUAAAGGGCGCGUAGGCGGGCUUGUAAGUCAGGGGUGAAAUCCUCCGGCUCAACCGGAGAACAGCCCCUGAUACUGCGAGUCUCGAGGGAGGUAGGGGCAUGCGGAACUUCGGGUGGAGCGGUGAAAUGCGUAGAUAUCCGAAGGAACGCCGGUGGCGAAAGCGGCGUGCUGGACCUCUUCUGACGCUGAGGCGCGAAAGCCAGGGGAGCGAACGGG
rnacentral:rRNA from 1 species